rnacentral:rRNA from 1 species
UACGUAGGGUGCAAGCGUUGUCCGGAAUUAUUGGGCGUAAAGAGCUCGUAGGCGGUUUGUCGCGUCUGCUGUGAAAACUUGGGGCUUAACCCUGAGCUUGCGGUCGAUACGGGCAUGACUGGAGUUCGGCAGGGGAGACUGGAAUUCCUGGUGUAGCGGUGAAAUGCGCAGAUAUCAGGAGGAACACCGGUGGCGAAGGCGGGUCUCUGGGCCGAUACUGACGCUGAGGAGCGAAAGCGUGGGGAGCGAACAGG